UGGGGGGCUGGCGGCUCAUCAGUCCAGGCCAUCUGGCCACUGGGUCAGCACCAGCGCCCAGUC
ensembl:miRNA